UACGAAGGGGGCUAGCGUUGCUCGGAGUCACUGGGCGUAAAGGGUGCGUAGGCGGGUUUUUAAGUCAGAGGUGAAAUCCUGGAGCUCAACUCCAGAACUGCCUUUGAUACUGAAAGUCUUGAGUAUGGGAGAGGUGAGUGGAACUGCGAGUGUAGAGGUGAAAUUCGUAGAUAUUCGCAAGAACACCAGUGGCGAAGGCGGCUCACUGGCCCAUAACUGACGCUGAGGCACGAAAGCGUGGGGAGCAAACAGG
rnacentral:rRNA from 1 species